AUGUUGGGGAGGUGUCUGUAUGGAUGCAGAAAGAUUUACGAGAAUCAGAAACAGAAGAAAUUGGAAGAUUCUGUGUUAGAAUCCAAGAGGAAAUUGACCACCUACCAAGAGAGAAGGGAAAUGGAUAAGACCUGGACAAGUACUGAAGUUCUCCUGGAUCCAACGUCCCUGCCAACAAAGGCGAUCCCUCGUAAUUCAAGGAUGAUGAUCCGAGAGUGGCUUCUCAGUCUGUUGCAGCCUUCUUCCGCCUUCACAGCCGUUGUAACAUGUACCAUGUUAUCCUCCGCCUGCUCCGCCGUUGAGGUCUUUGGGUCUUUGGAUUGUUCUUGGUCUGCAUCCUCCCCUGUGGCCACUCCUGGGAGUGUGUGA
rnacentral:lncRNA from 1 species